CCCAGCAUGCCGCGUGAGUGAUGAAGGCCUUAGGGUUGUAAAGCUCUUUUACCAGGGAUGAUAAUGACAGUACCUGGAGAAUAAGCUCCGGCUAACUCCGUGCCAGCAGCCGCGGUAAUACGGAGGGAGCUAGCGUUGUUCGGAAUUACUGGGCGUAAAGAGUACGUAGGCGGUGAUUCAAGUCAGAGGUGAAAGCCUGGANCUCAACUCCAGAACUGCCUUUGAAACUAGAUCGCUAGAAUUGUGGAGAGGUUAGUGGAAUUCCGAGUGUAGAGGUGAAAUUCGUAGAUAUUCGGAAGAACACCAGUGGCGAAGGCGACUAACUGGACACAUAUUNACGCUUNNNGUACGAAAGCGUGGGGAGCAAACAGGAUUAGAUACCCUGGUAG
rnacentral:rRNA from 1 species